UACGUAGGGUGCAAGCGUUGUCCGGAAUUUAUUGGGCGUAAAGAGCUCGUAGGCGGUUCGUCGCGUCGGCUGUGAAAUCCCGAAGGCUCAACCUCGGGUCUGCAGUCGAUACGGGCGGACUGGAGUUCGGCAGGGGAGGACUGGAAUUCCGUGGUGUAGCGGUGAAAUGCGCAGGAUAAUCAGGAGGAACACCGUGGCGAAGGCGGGUCUCUGGGCUGACACUGACGCUCAUGCACGAAAGCGUGGGGGAGCAAACAGGAUUAGAUAC
rnacentral:rRNA from 1 species